ensembl:lncRNA
AUCCAAUGACAGCCCCUCCAACGAGGAAAUGUUGACCCACCUUUCCUGCUGGGAAGUAACUUCCUUAAAGGCAAUUCGGCUUGCUCCUCUAAUAUUCUUGUCACUUUUGGUUAUUAGGACAGUUCUCUUUCUUAUUUAGGACUCAGUCCCAUGUAUUUUGAUACUUCAGUCUCAAAUCAGAUUCAGAGCUUGGGUCCUCUCCCCCAAGUAUUGACUCCCCCCGUCUAUGACUACAGUGGCUUGAAGGCUCGUGGUUUGUUCUCCACGUACUUACAUGUUUCCUUCUCUCUUUGUACUCCUCUCUUCAGACUUCAGAAGGCUUCUGGAUCCUAUUCUGGCCCAUCAUGGCAUGGUCAGCAGAUGAGAAACAGAUGGACUUGUGUGUGGUGGGAAGAAGUUGUCCUGGUCAAGCUUUUCUCCAGGCCAGUCCUCUCUGAGGUCCACAGAACAUGAGAUGGGAUGGGGCUGACCAAAUCUCAUUUCCAAGUAUGUUGCGUGAUGAGCCACGGAUGACUUGGGCUACUGACUUAGAGCAAACUACCUUCAGGAAUCUGUGGUCUCUACUCAAACAUGCACCUUCCCAAAACUGAAGGUGAUGUAUAUCAAAUACACACCCUUCUCUCCUCUCACCUUAGCAGGCAUCAGGAAAUAAAAAGGAUAGUGUGCCAUUCCCCUCAUUUCCUAGUAUGCUCUCUCAAUGCCCCAUUCCUGUACAUCAGAGAAGACCUCAAAAGCUGCAGUUUAGCAUGUAACCAGCCAGUCUACCUCUCUUAGAGUCACCUUCAGCAUCUACUCACGAUUGCCUUGGAGACUGACUUCCUUGGUUUGGAGGAGAGAGAGGCACCACCACCACCCACAACUACAAACACAUGAAAGAAGAGACUUUCUUCACUAGCAUGCACUUCACCAAAGACCGAAUGAAGUAAAAUAUCAGCUUGGUUUCCUUUCAACUUUAAGGUUUUUUUGAAUGUGGCUGCUUGUGCAAAAAUGGAGCCUGCUAUUAGCAAGCACUCUCCCAUCCUCAACUCAAUUAUUUUCUGGAUUUCAUUGGAGACAGUUCAGAGGUAGAGCCGCUAGUAAACCUUAUGGAGACAUGCUUAUCACCAACAACUCGAGCUCACCUUUGGACUUUGACCAUGGUUCUGGGACAAUAGGAAGCACCUCGCUCUCCAUCCUGUUAUAUUAGUGUCCUGGUUUGUAAUUUAUUGUCUUCAUUUGAUCUCACCAAACGCUUUCUGGUGUUGUUUCCCCUACCCUGUGCUGAUUCAGACUGAGGUUGUGAGAAAGCUAGCAGUUUCCCAGGCUUAUGGGCUAGACCCCUAGCCUGGACAGUCAUCCAGGAAAUGUGUCCCAUAGGUCAGAAGAAGCAAGAGAGUGCGGUGUGAGGAAAAAGUCACAACAUGUGUCUGAACCUUGGCCGUGGGUCCAUGGCUGACUACCUGUGACCAUGAUCUUUUUGGCCUUCUAGAAAUUUGUUCCUGAUUUCCAGAACAAAGAUUGGACUGGUAAAUUUUAGCAGCAAAACCCAUAUUUUUUCCAAAUUGGUCGUUAAAACAUAGAUCCUCUUUCUUCCCAGGUAGAGACCUUAUGGCAUGAAAUAUGGCAGCAACUCUGUGGUAGAAAUUUGAGAUCUACUGAAGUAAAAUAUCAGGUUGUUCUCUUUCCAAUUUAAGAUUUUUUUGGAGUAUGGCUGGCUCUAGAUAUACUGCUACUAGCAAGUAACUUUGUAUUUAUCUGACUUUGCAAAUGUCAGUUGUGUAUGGG